UACGGAGGGAGCUAGCGUUGUUCGGAAUUACUGGGCGUAAAGCGCACGUAGGCGGCGAUUCAAGUCAGAGGUGAAAGCCCGGGGCUCAACCCCGGAACUGCCUUUGAAACUAGAUUGCUAGAAUCCUGGAGAGGUGAGUGGAAUUCCGAGUGUAGAGGUGAAAUUCGUAGAUAUUGGGAAGAACACCAGUGGCGAAGGCGGCUCUCUGGUCCGAUUCUGACGCUGAGGCGCGAAAGCGUGGGGAGCAAACAGG
rnacentral:rRNA from 1 species